GGUUGUGGCUCAGUGGUAGAGCGCUUGUCUUGCAUGUGUGAGGCACUGGGUUCCAUCCUCAGCACAUUA
rnacentral:tRNA from 1 species